rnacentral:rRNA from 1 species
GACGAACGCUGGCGGCGUGCCUAAUACAUGCAAGUCGAACGCAUUUUCUUUCACCGUAGCUUGCUACACCGAAAGAAAAUGAGUGGCGAACGGGUGAGUAACACGUGGGUAACCUGCCCAUCAGCGGGGGAUAACACUUGGAAACAGGUGCUAAUACCGCAUAAUUCCAUUUACCGCAUGGUAAAUGGAUGAAAGGCGCUUUUGCGUCACUGAUGGAUGGACCCGCGGUGCAUUAGCUAGUUGGUGGGGUAACGGCCUACCAAGGCUGCGAUGCAUAGCCGACCUGAGAGGGUGAUCGGCCACACUGGGACUGAGACACGGCCCAGACUCCUACGGGAGGCAGCAGUAGGGAAUCUUCGGCAAGGGACGCAAGUCUGACCGAGCAACGCCGCGUGAGUGAAGAAGGUUUUCGGAUCGUAAAACUCUGUUGUUAGAGAAGAACAAGGAUGAGAGUGGAAAGUUCAUCCCUUGACGGUAUCUAACCAGAAAGCCACGGCUAACUACGUG